AGAUGCGCGUGACCCCAAAGGCCUGUUCCUCCCAGCCAGUUUUGGUGCUUCCAAACCUGGCUUGGAUCUGUGUGGUUUCGAGGAAGUUCCUGGUUUUCAAAUCGAGUGCUGCACCCCUGCCUCACAGUGCCAGUGUGGCCGAAAAUUAGGGAUGUGGAGAGUAGAGAGACAGACAGACAGACAGACAGACAGAGAAGAAUGAGGACUGUCAAAGACAUCGGAGAGACGCCACCUUGAUCUAUCUAUCCUGCUGCCUGCUGCUGGAGAGUCUCCCCUGGAAUCCUGACCCUAGAAUUGGAGACUGGAUCCAACCUUCAGCUAAGAUAUGUGACAGAUGGCCCAGCAGUUAAGAGCACUGGCUGCUCUUCCAGAGGACCCCAAGUUCCAUUCCCAGCAUCCACACAGCAGCUCACAAUCAUUUGUAACUACAGUUCCAGGAGACCCGGUACCCUCCAUCAGAUGUGCCCAGCCACUUUGGUUUUAGUUGAUUCCAGCCGUAUAGUCAAGUUGACAACUAAGAUUAGCCAUCACAUGUUACCUGGAAGUAUAAGAUGAAUAAAUUCUUUCCUCCCCAGGUUCCUUUUGGUGUACUAUUUAUCACAGGAACAAAAAAGCAAGCUCAGAUUCUGAGAUGGAUAGAUGGUAACAUCUGCCAAUUGUUGAGGACCAUCUUUCUAAUUGGGUGGGAGCUUUCUCUCUCCUUAAUGCUACAACUAAUCACAUAACAAAAACAGUCCUAGAGCCAACAGUCCCAAGAUCAUGGAAGCCAUUGUACUGCCAUUAUUUCUUAAGAAACUUGUUAAAGCACUAAACACUAACUGGGACUAUCAUACUCAUGGGCACUCUCCCUCCAUGGGGAGAGUUGAAAGAUUGAAUCAAAUCUUUAAAUGACACAUUACUAAGUUAAUCCUGGACAAGUCUCAAUUGUCUUGGACCCAGUGUUUGCCUAUAGCUUUAUUUAGAAUCCACACAGCCCUCAGGACCUAGGACUACCUCCUGGGAAAUGCUAUAUGGAUUGCAAUAUCUGGAGAGGGCCACUGACUUUCCUGCCAUGGAAGCUAAAAGUUUCUCAGAAACGAUGUGCUGGUCUCUCUUCCACCUUGGCUACAAGGCCUUCCUACCUGGACCCCCCACAGGAAUUUACAGCCCAUUCUUUCAGGCCUGAAGACUGAAUACUAAUAAAAAGAUGAAGAGACCAAGUUGGAACCAAUCUGGGAGUGGCCAUUUCUGGUGCUGUUAACUACCCAAACUGCAGUUCAGAUGGCUGAGAGAGGUGGGAUCCAUUACACCUGAGCGAAGAAGGCUGCUGGUAACAGUGCCCAGAGGAAAUAGACAAUCUUUUUUUUUUGUUGUUGUUUGUUUGUUUU